rnacentral:tmRNA from 1 species
GGCCACGUAAAAAGCUGAUCAAACAUUUUAAUUGCAGAUGAAAAUCUCCAAUUGGCUGCCUAAUUACAGGCAUCCCGGACUGAUGGGGGCCGCCAGAGUCGCCUGAAAGUCCGUCACAAUUCUGGAUCGCCCGCCGUCCUACUCGAGACGCGGCGGGUUAAACAAGAUUCGAGUUAGCGAGCCACGUAGUCGGUCCAGCAGCGCCGUGGUAAGCGAAACGAGCCUUCGGCUCAUAACCGCAGGACUACACACGUAGACGCCGUCGUGGACGCAUCGCGGGACGAGGGUUCAAUUCCCUCCGCCUCCACUC